GGAAACAUAGUUGAGCCCUGACAACAUCCAACAGAGAGCAAUUUGGAAAAUAAACACAAUGAAAAUGGGGAAACUGUAACUACUUGUUGGUGCAAAGACAUUGUUAAGCCCUGACAGCAUUUAACUGAAGACAAAAAAGAGGAAAUAAAGAAACAACAAAAAUGGUGUGCGACAUCUUAAGACCUCAAAAUCAGACCACAGUCCAGCUGAAGGGAUUAUCCAUCGCAGAAAUCAUCAUCA